GUGCUUGCUUCAGCAGCGCAUAUACAACAAUUGGAAAGAUACAGAGAAGAUUAGCAAGGCCCCUGUGCAGGAAUGACAUGCAAAUUUGAGAAGUGUUCCAUAUUUUA